CUGGAUGAGUGGCGAACGGGUGAGUAACACGUGAGUAGCCUGCCCUCUUCUUUGGGAUAACGGUCGGAAACGGCUGCUAAUACCGGGUAUUCACUGUCCUUCGCAUGGGGGGUGGGUGGAAAGGUUUUUUCUGGUGGGGGAUGGGCUCGCGGCCUAUCAGCUUGUUGGUGGGGUGAUGGCUUACCAAGGCUUUGACGGGUAACCGGCCUGAGAGGGUGACCGGUCACAUUGGGACUGAGAUACGGCCCAG
rnacentral:rRNA from 1 species